CACGUAGUUAGCCGUGACUUCCUCGCCGGGUACCAUCACUCAGAAAGCUUUCCACUCUUUCUGCCUUUUGUCCCCGGCAACAGAGCCUUACGAUCCGAAGACCUUCCCCGCUCACGCGGCAUUGCUCGUUCAGGGUUCCCCCAUUGACGAAAAUUCCCUACUGCUGCCUCCCGCAGGAGUCUGGGCCGUGUCUCAGUCCCAGUGUGGCCGUCCGCCCUCUCAGGCCGGCUAUGCAUCGUCGCCUUGGUGAGCCGUUACCUCUCCAACCAGCUAAUGCACCGCAGGUCCAUCUGCAUGCGGGACUCUUGUCCCCUUUCCAAAAAGAGAUGCCUCUCUUUGCUCAUCCGGUAUCAGCUUCCGUUUCCAGAAGUUCUCCCGCUCAUGCAGGCAGGUUCCCUACGUGUUACUCACCCGUUCGCCACUCAUAUCCGAAGAUAUCCGUUCGACUUGCAUGUAUUAGGCAUGCCGCAGCGUUCAUCCUGAGCCAGGAA
rnacentral:rRNA from 1 species